rnacentral:rRNA from 1 species
CCCGCCGGCGACCGGCGCACGGGUGAGUAACACGUAUGAAGCCUGCCCGUAGCAGGGGGAUAAGCGGAAGAAAUUCCGUCUAAUACCGCGUAACAACCCGAGGAGGCAUCUCCUCGGGUUUAAAGGAAGCGAUUCCGGCUACGGAUGGUCAUGCGUCGCAUUAGCUAGUUGGCGGGUAACGGCCCACCAAGGCGACGAUGCGUAGGGGUUCUGAGAGGAAGGUCCCCCACACUGGUACUGAGACACGGACCAGACUCCUACGGGAGGCAGCAG